GGGCGUUUGCUUGUUUUAUAAUGAGAGGAAAGUCCGGACACCGUAGAGCAGAGUUCCUUAUGAAAAUAAGGGCGUGACGAAGUAAUUCGUUAUGACGGAUAGUGUCGCAGAAAAUAAACCGCCUUUGUUUUAUAUGAAGGUAAGGGUGAAAAGGGGAGGUAAGAGCUCACCGCAUCAAAGGUAACAAUGAUGGCAGGAAAAACCCAACUCGGUGCAAGGCAAAAUAGGGGAUCAGGCGGCUCGUCUAAUGAUUCCGGGUAUGCCGCAAAGAUAAAUGAACGCACAGUUUUGCAUGCAGUUUGUAUGCUUGAUGGACAGAAUCCGGCUUAUAG
rnacentral:RNase_P_RNA from 1 species